rnacentral:rRNA from 1 species
UGAGUAACGCGUGGGAACCUACCUUUUGGUACGGGACAACCAAUGGAAACGUUGGCUAAUACCGUAUACGUCCCCUUUAGCGGGAGCUUUAGGGGAGAAAGAUUUAUCGCCGAGAGAUGGGCCCGCGUCCGAUUAGUUAGUUGGUGGGGUAAUGGCCUACCAAGACGUCGAUCGGUAGCUGGUCUGAGAGGAUGAUCAGCCACACUGGGACUGAGACACGGCCCAGACUCCUACGGGAGGCAGCAGUGGGGAAUAUUGGACAAUGGGCGCAAGCCUGAUCCAGCCAUGCCGCGUGAGUGAAGAAGGCCCUAGGGUUGUAAAGCUCUUUCACCCGCGAAGAUAAUGACGGUAGCGGGAGAAGAAGCCCCGGCUAACUCCGUGCCAGCAGCCGCGGUAAUACGGAGGGGGCAAGCGUUGUUCGGAAUUACUGGGCGUAAAGGGCGCGUAGGCGGUCUGUUGCGUCAGGUGUGAAAGCCCUGGGCUCAACCUAGGAUGUGCACUUGAUACGGGCAGGCUAGAAUCCGGNAGAGGAUGGUGGAAUUCCCAGUGUAGAGGUGAAAUUCGUAGAUAUUGGGNAGAACACCGAUGGCGAAGGCNGCCAUCUGGACCGGUAUUGACGCUGAGGCGCGAAAGCGUGGGGAGCAAACNGGAUUAGAUACCCUGGUAGUCC